AUUGAACGCUGGCGGAAUGCUUUACACAUGCAAGUCGAACGGCAGCACGGGGGCAGCCCUGGUGGCGAGUGGCGAACGGGUGAGUAAUACAUCGGAACGUGCCCGGUCGUGGGGGAUAACGUAGCGAAAGUUACGCUAAUACCGCAUACGAUCUGAGGAUGAAAGCGGGGGACCUUCGGGCCUCGCGCGAUCGGAGCGGCCGAUGUCAGAUUAGGUAGUUGGUGGGGUAAAGGCCUACCAAGCCGACGAUCUGUAGCUGGUCUGAGAGGACGACCAGCCACACUGGGACUGAGACACGGCCCAGACUCCUACGGGAGGCAGCAGUGGGGAAUUUUGGACAAUGGGCGCAAGCCUGAUCCAGCCAUUCCGCGUGCAGGACGAAGGCCUUCGGGUUGUAAACCGCUUUUGUACGGAACGAAAAGGCUCUGGCUAAUACCUGGGGCUCAUGACGGUACCGUAAGAAUAAGCACCGGCUAACUACGUG
rnacentral:rRNA from 1 species